rnacentral:rRNA from 1 species
CCUACGGGAGGCAGCAGUGGGGAAUAUUGCGCAAUGGGCGAAAGCCUGACGCAGCGACGCCGCGUGAGGGAUGAAGGUCUUCGGAUCGUAAACCUCUGUCAGCAGGGAAGAACGGUCACUGUGCUAAUCAGCAGUGAAUUGACGGUACCUGCAAAGGAAGCACCGGCUAACUCCGUGCCAGCAGCCGCGGUAAUACGGAGGGUGCGAGCGUUAAUCGGAAUUACUGGGCGUAAAGCGCUCGUAGGCGGUAUGUCAAGUCAAGGGUGAAAUCCCCGCGCUCAACGUGGGAACUGCCUUUGAAACUGGCAAACUGGAGUGUGUGAGAGGAUAGUGGAAUUCCAGGUGUAGGAGGGAAAGCCGUAGAUAUCUGGAGGAACAUCAGUGGCGAAGGCGACUAUCUGGCACAUAACUGACGCUGAGGAGCGAAAGCGUGGGUAGCAAACAGGAUUAGAUACCCUAGUAGUC